rnacentral:misc_RNA from 1 species
GAUGAAGAACGCAGCGAAAUGCGAUAAAUAAUGUGAAUUGCAGAAUUCAGUGAAUCAUCGAGUCUUUGAACGCACAUUGCGCCCCCUGGUAUUCCGGGGGGCAUGCCUGUCCGAGCGUCAUUGCUGCCCUCAAGCACGGCUUGUGUGUUGGGCCCCCGUCCCCCCCUCCCGGGGGACGGGCCCGAAAGGCAGCGGCGGCACCGCGUCCGGUCCUCGAGCGUAUGGGGCUUUGUCACCCGCUCUGUAGGCCCGGCCGGCGCCUGCCGACCACCAUCAAUCUUUUUUCAGGUUGAUCUCGGAUCAGGUUGGGAUACCCGCUGAACUUAAGCAUAUCAAUAAGCGGAGGA